AUCGAAGAAGACACAGGGAUUGCCUCAGUAACGGCGAGUGAAGCGGCAACAGCUCAAAUUUGAAAGCUGGCUCUUUCAGGGUCCGCGUUGUAAUUUGUAGAGGAUGCUUCGGGUGCGGCGCUGGUCUAAGUUCUUUGGAACAAGACGUCAUGGAGGGUGAGAAUCCCGUAUGUGACUGGUUGCCUGUGCCUAUGUGAAGCUCCUUCGACGAGUCGAGUUGUUUGGGAAUGCAGCUCUAAAUGGGUGGUGUACUUCAUCUAAAGCUAAAUAUUGGGUCUAGACCGAUAGCGCACAAGUAGAGUGAUCGAAAGAUGAAAAGCACUUUGGAAAGAGAGUUAAACAGUACGUGAAAUUGUUGAAAGGGAAGCGCUUGCAAUCAGACUUGCGCUGCGUCGAUCAGCCUGGGUUCUCCCUGGUGCACUCGGCGCAGCUCAGGCCAGCAUCAGUUUUGGCGGCUGGAUAAAGGCCUAGGGAACGUGGGUCGCCUCGGCGACCGUUAUAGCCCUAGGUGCAAUGCAGCCUGCCGGGACUGAGGACCGCGCUUCGGCUAGGAUGCUGGCGUAAUGGUUGUAAGCGACCCGUCUUGAAACACGGACCAAGGAGUCUAACAUUUAUGCGAGUGUUUGGGUGUCAAACCCAUACGCGCAAUGAAGGUGAACGGAGGUGAGAACCCUUAAGGGCGCAUCAUCGACCGAUCCUGAUGUCUUCGGAUGGAUUUGAGUAAGAGCAUAACUGUUGGGACCCGAAAGAUGGUGAACUAUGCCUGAAUAGGGUGAAGCCAGAGGAAACUCUGGUGGAGGCUCGCAGCGGUUCUGACGUGCAAAUCGAUCGUCAAAUUUGGGUAUAGGGGCGAAAGACUAAUCGAAGCUGCCCGUAGG
rnacentral:rRNA from 1 species